GGUCCUAUGGCUUAGUUGGUAAAGCGUCCGACUGUUAAUACAACAGUCCAAUCGGGAGAUCCGCAGUUCGAUCCUGCGUGGGACCG
rfam:Leucosporidium creatinivorum strain 62-1032 BCR35scaffold_105, whole genome shotgun sequence.